AAAGUCGUAACAAGGUUUCCGUAGGUGAACCUGCGGAAGGAUCAUUACCGAGUUAGGGUUCGCUCGUCGAGCCCGACCUCCCAACCCUUUGUUUAUUAUACCUUGUCGUUGCUUCGGCGGACCGGUCCUCGCGAGGGGACCGCCGGGGGCCCUGCCCCGGGAGCGCGUCCGCCGACGGCCCAACCACAAACUCUUGACCCAAACCAUGUCGCCUGAAUAUUAUUGAUCAAAAAUCAAAACAAAACUUUCAACAACGGAUCUCUUGGUUCUG
rnacentral:misc_RNA from 1 species